rnacentral:rRNA from 1 species
UGGGGAAUAUUGCACAAUGGGCGAAAGCCUGAUGCAGCAACGCCGCGUGAGUGAUGAAGGCCUUCGGGUUGUAAAGCUCUGUCUUUUGGGACGAUAAUGACGGUACCAAAGGAGGAAGCCACGGCUAACUACGUGCCAGCAGCCGCGGUAAUACGUAGGUGGCAAGCGUUGUCCGGAUUUACUGGGCGUAAAGGAUGCGUAGGCGGAUUUUUAAGCGAGAUGUGAAAUACCCGGGCUUAACUUGGGUGCUGCAUUUCAAACUGGGAAUCUAGAGUGCGGGAGAGGAGAAUGGAAUUCCUAGUGUAGCGGUGAAAUGCGUAGAGAUUAGGAAGAACACCAGUGGCGAAGGCGAUUCUCUGGACCGUAACUGACGCUGAGGCAUGAAAGCGUGGGUAGCAAACAGGAUUAGAUACCCUGGUAGUCCACGCCGUAAACGAUGAGUACUAGGUGUAGGAGGUAUCGACCCCUUCUGUGCCGCAGUUAACACAAUAAGUACUCCGCCUGGGAAGUACGAUCGCAAGAUUAAAACUUAAAUGAAUUGACGGGGUCAUAGC